UCGUCAGGGUUGCUCUUCUGAAGACCCGCGUAAUUCAGAUCCCAGAUGGUUCCAGGCCGAUCCUGGCAAGGUUGGUAGUAGCCUGACUUGCUUGCCCGCUGAGGUGGCCCUGCCGGGGGUCGCAGCGUAAGCACCGGGGAUGUCUCCUUUGCUGCCCGUUCAGCGCUUAUGUGACCCGCGACACGGCUGUCGUUGGGAAGGUGAGAGUUGAUGUACUCAAAGGCCGAGGUUUUAUGGCAUUUCCCUUUCACAGGAUUCCUACUCUGGCGAAGCGUCGCCUCGCGUGUAAAUCUUGGAUCAAGACUGAAUGUCUGGGAACUGGGAGCGGGGGGCUGUGUUCGUGCAGAGGGGAGAUGCCAGGAGAGGAGUUGGAGGAGGGGAGGGAAGAGGCCGUGGCCCUCUGCCCAGUGGAUGAGCCUGGUGUCCCCCCCCCCCCCCCAACAGUGUCCUCAGACUUGGCCGGGCUUCCUCUGGAGCGGCGCGGACUCAGUGAAGAUAGUAAAAGGCGUCCCCGCUCCUCACCACCUCUGCUUUUGUCACGGAGGUUGGCUGCUGCGUGCAGGACAGGCGGGAGUGGGUCCCUUUUGGUUGGAUUUAAUUUGGGGGCAACGGGUACUUGAGUCGGGUGGGAGCAGAGUCGGAGUCAGGAGAGGGUCUGCCUCGCGGGCCCCGAGCCGGAACUGCCGACCUGCGGUCCCGGGUUCGGUUCCUCGUGCUUUGCCGAGCCCUGCAUCGCUUACCUGCUUGGAUGCGAGAGGAACCCGGGCCGUAGGCCUCUUGUCUGUAAGGGAAGUUCAUCUCACUGGAGUUCUGGGUCAUUUCCUGGAACCGCAUUUUGAGCCUGGUGUCUCCCUGUUGCUUUGCAGGGCAGCAAGGAAGUCAGGCCGGGGAGGGUCCAGGGGUCACGCUAGUCUGUCACCCCCGUUGCGGUUCAGCCAUGGUGCAGCGGAAAGGGGACGUGGGGUCCCCAACGGAGAAUUCCGUUACCCGGCAGGAUGUGCAGGGGUCAGUUGGGGGACUGGUUUUGAGCCAUUAAAUGAAGACACGUGACCUGUAUACAAGCUGGAUUUCCGGAUAUUACACGCUGAUCAUCAGAGAGAGUGCAUUUACGUGAGGAGCAGGCUUUCUGACUCAAGCCAUUUGGCUCUUCUGAGAAAGCCUCCUUCAGGAGGUUCUCUGUGAUACGAGGGAGUCGGGAAGCAGGAGUUGGAAGGUUUUGAAUCCCCUAAAGCUGAGGACCGUGUUUGGGUUUGUUUUCACGGUUCAGAGCCCCUGCUAAGUUCCCUCCUGCGUCGCAUGCCCGACCUGGAGACCCUGGAGAUCCUGAAGUUGGUGAACUGCCCUGAGACCUUCACCCCGGACAUGAGGUGCAUCAUGGGGGAGUCUCCUUCGGUGAGGGGCUACUUCGUCCUGGCGGGAAUGAACUCUGCCGGCCUUUCGUUCGGUGGAGGGGCUGGGAGGUUCUCAGCGGAGGGUAGAGACUCAGAUGCCAGAAGAUGUGUCCAUCAGGCAGAGGAUGAACAGAGCUAGAAAGCAAGCUUCAAAGAGAAGAGCGCAGAGGCCCUCCCUCAAGAGAGCCCAAGAUCAAGACAGCACAAGAGGUGACAGUGGAUCCUUUCAGAGAAAAGACCGCGUGUCUGAACACAAAGUCCCGCUAACCGUUCACAGCAGUCCGGGGCCCUGGGAUCUCCAGGGAGAGCUUCCUAGACUGGAAGAGGACAGUACGCAGUACACAGAGCACAUGAAGUAUGUGUCCGUCAGCUCCUCGAGUGAUCAGUAACGCUUCCAGUCAACAGCAGGCUCUUAGCAGAUCACGUUUUUGAGGAGUUGAAGUUCUAUGUGAGGCUCUGACUGGGGCAGGAUGGGGGUGCCCUGACCCCCACGUUAUUCAAGGGUCAACUGCAUAACCUUCUUGAGGAUGAAAGCGCUUGAGAAGAACCCAUGCAUGGCACAAAUCACCUCUUGGACUCAUGGAAAAUCAUAAAAACAGGACCAGCCCAGGAUAGUCAGACAUAGAAACCAAGGCCUUAACUAAUGAAGCUACUGGAGCCACAGAGCAUCCCCCUCUUGACCAGGUUUGGCCACUUAAUGACACAGGCACCCAAGCGGCAAAGCUGACUGAUCAUGUGGCACUUCAGAAUCGAUCCCUGCCUGCACAGGCACAAGUCAGCUACCUCUGCAUCAGCUCUUCCCAAAUUGUGACUAAUCCCUUCAUCUUAAAACCAUUAUAUCUGUCUGGACAAGGACAUAAAAUUCCAUGGGCUGGCAGAUGCAUGCUUCCACCAGUAACGGAAAGAAAGCCUAAGGCCGUAUAGGUAAUGCAACUAACAUCAAGAACAAGACAGAGAUGCCUAGGAUCCCUAUGUACAUAAGACUGGACCCUGAAAAUUCCAAGGACUCAACUAAAAAACAACUAUAAGAAAAUUUAGUAAGGAAAUAAAAAAUAUAAAAGAAAAAAAAUGGCUUUCAUUAUCACUUUGGGGCGCCUGGGUGGCUCAGUUAAGGUUAAACAUUUGCCUUCAGCUCAGAUCAUGAUCUCAGGGUCCUGGGACCGAGACCCGAUUCGGGCUCCUGGCUAAGCUGCUCCCUUUCUCUCUGCCCAUCUCCCAACCUGUGCAUGCUCCCGCUCUCAAAUAAUAAAAUCUUUUUAAAAAAUAAUAAUCACUUAGAAGAUAAUGGAACAAAGAUACUCCUCUCAUUCACAAUAGCAACAAAAUAUUUUAACAUCUGUAAGAAGAAAACUUCAAAUACCUCUGAAAGGUCACCAAAAAAACUUAAAUAAAAACUCAAAGGCUUUCUUUUUAAGAUUGAGCACAUCAUGUCAGUUCUUCCUAAUGUAUAAAUGUAAUAUAAUCCAGAAUCCGUCAGUGUUCUUAACUAGAUAAUUACAGUUUCCAAGGGAAAAUAAGAAAACAUGUUUUUUUCCCCAGUUUUCCAAGCUAUGGAGAAGGAUAAGCACGACCAAAUAUUACAAUACAUAAGUGACCCCGAUCAUGGAUAGACUAAGGGAACAGAAGUCCAAAAAUAAAAACAGAAGUCCAGAAAUAAAUCCAAAAACAGAGGAAUUUAGGAUCCGUAAGGACGGAAUGUCAAAUCAACUGGUUAUCCACGUAGAAAAAAAAGUCUAAUCCAUAUCCCAUGAAGUACAGCAAGAGACACUGCGAAAGGAUGGGGCAUCAAAAUACAUGAAAACCCCACAAACCCAUACAACAGAGCAACACAACUAUAAAAGCACUAGAGGAAAACUGAAAAAAAUCUUACAAUCCUGACGCUAUGCAUCACACUCCAGAAGGCACAAAAGAUCAACUCAAUUACAUAAAAAUCAAAUCUCUGCAAUGUAUGAAACAUUUCUCAUAAUUUUUUUUUUAAACCCUGUGUGGCAAAAAAAUGAAAAGACCAGUGACAAACUGGG